CCUUUAUAUUAGCUGUCAGUAUUCUUACACAUGCGAAUAUCCGUAAACCGGUGAGUCAUGCCCAAAAUUUCCAUGUUUAAAGAAAUGAAGGAGCAGGGAUCAAGUACACUAUUAUUUAUUAGUAGCUAAAGACACCACGCCUAACCACACCCCCACGGGAUACAGCAGUGAUAAAAAUUAAGCAAUGAACGAAAGUUUGACUAAGUAAUACUGAACAAGGGUUGGUAAAUUUCGUGCCAGCCACCGCGGUCAUACGAUUAACCCUAGUUAAUAUACUACGGCGUAAAGAGUGCUAAAAUAUUUCGCCUAAAUAAGAUUCAAGCCUAAUUUAGCUGUAAAAAGCAUCAAUUAAAGCGAAAAUCAAUAACGAAAGUAAUCUUAUUAAAUUGCAGCACUAAAGCUAUAGAACAAACUGGGAUUAGAUACCCCACUAUGUAUAGCCAUAAACAUAAAUAAGUUUAUAACAAACUUAUUCGCCUGAGAACUACAAGCAACUGCUAGAAACUCAAAGGACUUGGCGGUGCUUUAUAUCCACCUAGAGGAGCCUGUUCCGUAAUCGAUAAACCCCGAUCCACCUUACCACUUCUUGCUAAUUCAGCCUAUAUACCGCCAUCCUCAGCUAACCCUAAAAAGGAAGGAUAGUAAGCACAAUCAUUAUAAAUUAAUAAAAAAGUUAGGUCAAGGUGUAGCCAAUGGAGUGGAGAGUAAUGGGCUACAUUUUCUGUAGACAGAAUAUUCACGAAGUUCCCUCUGAAACACAGGGAAUGAAGGAGGAUUUAGUAGUAAAUUGAAAAUAGAGUGUUCAAUUGAAUAGAGCAAUGAAGCACGUACACACCGCCCGUCACCCUC
rnacentral:ncRNA from 1 species